rnacentral:lncRNA from 1 species
CGAUAUAUAGUAAUACUAAUACUUGCAUAAAUAAUCCAAAUGAGAUAAAAGAUUGCAUACGAACAUUUCCCCAAUGACAAAGCAAGUCAAACCACCACUUGUGAGAUACAAAAACAUACUUCAUUCCCCAGUCCCCGCCAUAAUAUUACAGAGCAGUGGAACUGCAAUUUUCUAGCUGUGCUUAGAUAGUGUGGCCCUUGC